AGGGUUUGAUCAUGGCUCACAUUGAACGCUGGCGGCAGGCCUAACACAUGCAAGUCGAGCGGUAGAGAGAAGCUUGCUUCUCUUGAGAGCGGCGGACGGGUGAGUAAUGCCUAGGAAUCUGCCUGGUAGUGGGGGAUAACGUUCGGAAACGGACGCUAAUACCGCAUACGUCCUACGGGAGAAAGCAGGGGACCUUCGGGCCUUGCGCUAUCAGAUGAGCCUAGGUCGGAUUAGCUAGUUGGUGAGGUAAUGGCUCACCAAGGCGACGAUCCGUAACUGGUCUGAGAGGAUGAUCAGUCACACUGGAACUGAGACACGGUCCAGACUCCUACGGGAGGCAGCAGUGGGGAAUAUUGGACAAUGGGCGAAAGCCUGAUCCAGCCAUGCCGCGUGUGUGAAGAAGGUCUUCGGAUUGUAAAGCACUUUAAGUUGGGAGGAAGGGUUGUAGAUUAAUACUCUGCAAUUUUGACGUUACCGACAGAAUAAGCACCGGCUAACUCUGUGCCAGCAGCCGCGGUAAUACAGAGGGUGCAAGCGUUAAUCGGAAUUACUGGGCGUAAAGCGCGCGUAGGUGGUUUGUUAAGUUGGAUGUGAAAUCCCCGGGCUCAACCUGGGAACUGCAUUCAAAACUGACUGACUAGAGUAUGGUAGAGGGUGGUGGAAUUUCCUGUGUAGCGGUGAAAUGCGUAGAUAUAGGAAGGAACACCAGUGGGCGAAGGCGACCACCUGGACUAAUACUGACACUGAGGUGCGAAAGCGUGGGGAGCAAACAGGAUUAGAUACCCUGGUAGUCCACGCCGUAAACGAUGUCAACUAGCCGUUGGAAGCCUUGAGCUUUUAGUGGCGCAGCUAACGCAUUAAGUUGACCGCCUGGGGAGUACGGGCCGCAAGGGUUAAAACUCAAAUGA
rnacentral:rRNA from 1 species